GUUGUUUACCAAGAUAUUGUUGAAAAUUCAAAUUAAGACACAGUACACAGAUUCAUUAUGAUGUGAAAUUUUAUAGAUAUAUUGCUUCAUUUGGGGUUUUUACCAAAAUUUAUGAUGCUCACCAAACAUGUAAGUGCCUAAAUGCAAGCAUGCCAUGGUGUCAUAUGGACACAUAUUCUUGUUAAUUGGAAUUUAUGCGACUGACAUACAAGUGAGAGGUUUAGCUAACUAUAAAACCAGGUUUAAUCCACCAUUUUCUACUUUAGAAAAUGCAUGUACCAAGUCAGGAAUAUGACAGUUGUUGUCCAUUCAUUUGAUGUGUUUGAGCUUUUAAUUUUGCCAUUUGAUUAGGUACUUUCCUUUUGAACUUUCCUGGGAGUUCAGUAUUUUUGUGAUUAUACUUUUUGUUGAUAUUUUUUAUAUUGAUUGUACGGUGACAAAUCUAAAUUGAUUAUUAUAUUUGUUUUCAUUGUUGAAACUUUAAAAGGUUAAUCUAAACAGUUGCUCAAUUGAAAGCAUGAAAUAUUGGUCACUUACAAUGUUUAAAACACUUUUUAACUGAAAACACAGUAAAUUUUGAAAGGAUGGAGAACAUCCUGUUAUAGAUAUGAUCAUGUGCUAAAA
rnacentral:lncRNA from 1 species